rnacentral:rRNA from 1 species
UACGAAGGGGGCUAGCGUUGUUCGGAAUCACUGGGCGUAAAGGGUGCGUAGGCGGCCGUGCAAGUCUGGCGUGAAAGCCCCGGGCUCAGCCCGGGAAGUGCGCUCGAAACUGCGCGGCUCGAGUGCCGGAGGGGAGAGUGGAAUUCCUGGUGUAGCGGUGAAAUGCGUAGAUAUCAGGAGGAAUACCGGUGGCGAAAGCGACUCUCUGGACGGCAACUGACGCUGAGGCACGAGAGCGUGGGGAGCAAACAGG